rnacentral:rRNA from 1 species
GAUGAACGCUGGCGGCGUGCCUAACACAUGCAAGUCGAGCGGCAGCGAGGGGUGCUUGCACCCUGUCGGCGAGCGGCGGACGGCUGAGUAACGCGUGGGAACGUGCCCCAAAGUGAGGAAUAACUGCCCGAAAGGGUAGCUAAUACCGCAUAGUAUCUUCGGAUCAAAGGAUUUAUCCGCUUUGUGAGCGGCUGGCGUCGGAUUAUGUAUUGGUUGAGGUAAUGGCUCACCAAGGCGACGAUCAGUAGCUGGUCUGAGAGGAUGACCAGCCAGACUGGAACUGAGACACGGCCCAAACUCCGACGGGAGGCAGCAGGGGGGAAUCUUGCGCAAUGGGCGAAAGCCUGACGCAGCCAUGCCGCGGGAAGGAAGAAGGUCUUAGGAUUGUAAAAGGCUUUCACCGGGGACGAGAAUGACGGGACCCGAAGAAGAAGACCCGGCUAGCUUCGGG